UGCGGCCAGCUGUCUGGGUGUUGGUCAGGAGGUCCGGGCUCAGGCUGUAAGACAGGGCAUUAGUGCCCAGGGUGGACUAUGUAAUUGAGGUACAGUCGAGUGGUGUGCAUGUUGAUCCUCAUUCGGGGUCUCUGGGUAGCCCCAGAGGUCAAUGUUUUUCUUCUGGAGGGCAGGCAGAGUGCUGCAUAAUGGCUCCAGAAUUGCCAAACUUGAAGGCUU